GGCGUCCGGGUGAGUAACACGUGGGUAAUCUACCUCUGCGGUGGGGAAUAACACCUCGAAAGAGGUGCUAAUACCGCAUAACGCAGCGGCACCUAAUGGUGAUUAGUUGUUAAAGCGGGGGAUCGCAAGACCUCGCGCCAGGAGAGGAGCCUGCGGCCGAUUAGCUAGUUGGUGAGGUAACGGCUCACCAAGGCUUCGAUCGGUAGCUGGUCUGAGAGGACGGCCAGCCACACUGGCACUGAAAUACGGGCCAGACUCCUACGGGAGGCAGCAGUGGGGAAUUUUGGGCAAUGGGCGCAAGCCUGACCCAGCAACGCCGCGUGAGGGAGGAAAUCCUUCGGGAUGUAAACCUCGCAAGCAGGGGAAGAGUGCUUUCGACCUAAUACGUCGAAAGAAGGACGGUACCCUGCGUAAGCCACGGUAACUACGUGCCAGCCGCCGCGG
rnacentral:rRNA from 1 species